rfam:Triticum aestivum genome assembly, contig: Triticum_aestivum_CS42_TGACv1_scaffold_000565_1AL
CAUAUACUUCCUUCGUCUGGAAAUACUUGUCAUUGAAAUGAAUGUAUCUAGAUGUAUUUUAGUUUUAGAUACAUAAUGACAAGUAAUUCCAGACAAAGGGAGUACAUA